GUGGGCGUAGCUCAACGGCAGAGCGGUGCACUGUGGAUGCACAGGUUGUGGGUUCGAAACCCAUCGCCCACC
rnacentral:tRNA from 1 species